rnacentral:lncRNA from 1 species
CUACUAUGCUCAGUUGACUAACGUUAAUAUUUAAGUAAAAUUAUUCCCUUUAGGCAAGAAAAUAAGUAAGAUGCCUACAGAGAAAUAUAUAAAAUAACAGUAGCACAAGAAAUAAAGUUAGAAAAGUCAGUAAUAUUUCCAGAUGAUUUUAGGAAGUUAGCAGAGAGAAUAUCCAACAGUAGGAUAAAAUUUGCUGAUAUUGCCCAGGAACUGAAAGUUUCUGUUUAUUUUCCCAGCACACCACAAAGAAUUGUUAGGUGUUUUGUUGUUGUUGUUGGCCUGAAUUAUUCAGAUUAUUUUCUCUAUUUCCUGUGUCACUUUGCAGAAAUCUUUUUUUUUUUUAAGAUUGGCCCUGAGCUAACAUCUGUUGCCAAUCUUCUUUUUCUUUUUUUUCCUUCUUCUUCUCCCCAAAGCCCCCCAGUACAUAGUUGUAUAUUCUAGCUGUGAGCGCCUCUGGUUGUGCUAUGUGGGACGCUGCCUCAGCAUGGCCUGAUGAGCGGUACUAGGUCUGCGCCCAGGAUCCGAACCACCAAAACCCUGGGCUGCCAAAUUGGAGGGCACAAACUUAACCACUCGGCCGUGGGGCAAGCCCCAGGAAUCUUAAUUCUUAUUCUCUUACACUCUUUCCCACAUGUACCCAUCCAAACUUAUUUUUAGAUUUCUAUUUAUGAUUAGCAGUAUUUUAAAUUUCCUAAAUGCAGUCCUUUAUUUGGAGUCUUUAUCAUUAAAAAGUCUCGAAGUCGCAUCCUACUUUCCUGUUUUCCCUUAGGCGUUUGCUUCCCUAAAUCCCAAAUCAGUGAGUAUCUCAUGUAUGCCUCACCACCUCUCCAUUUUCAUUGAAGGAUCCCUGUUCAGUACCCAGGGAGUUACAAUAUCAUACAAUCAAGGAAUUCACAAGUAAUUUAAAAAAACAGUGGUGGCUGACAUGCACAUACCUGCCUGGAGGAGGUGAAGUUCAAGCUCCCUGUUAAAGAGCAGGAGGGAUUUAGAUGUCGAGACAGAGGAGGCUGCUCCAAACAGAAAGGAUGGAAGGAUAGAGUCCUCCCAUGUGGAAUCUGACACCUGGAAGCUUUCAUAUUCUUUUCUGUGGCUGCAGAGUAUGGUCGCAGUAAUUUCUCUGGUUGUUGAGAGAGUCAAUGGAACCUCAGCUGUUCUGAUCAUCUGUAAUUCCACCAUUUCCACCACCAGAUACACACCUUCACUUCUUAGACAGACACUGCUUGCUGUCAGCAUCCAGGCCCACAAAUGGGAGAGAGAACAGCUAAAGACAGCAACCUGCUUGGCAUCCCCCUGCACACCAUAAUAGUCCUCAGGGUGAAGUAACCAUGGACAUCAGUGUCCACAGCAUCUUCAAGGUGGCUGUUAUGGAUAAAGAGGACAGGCCAAAAGGACAGUAUUGAGUCACAAAGUGGAAGACUGUAUCGGUUAAGAAAGCUUUUGAUUAUACAUGAUCCAGAAUGCUGAGAAGUUCAAAGCAGAAAAAUGAGAAGCAGAGAAACAUGGUUGGUAUCUCCUAAGAACUCUCUUGAGUCCACUGUCUUUACUCAGGACAAAAUGGAAAACAGAAAAAUUCAAGGCAAAAGCAAUCAUGGAGGGCAAACAGGAGAUUCAGUAAGGCCAUCAGCUGGCUGAACAAGAACUAGCCUGCUGAUAAGGAAGAAUUUGAGUGUCAUCAGGAAUACUGAAGAAUUCCAAAAUUCUGCAAGUUGAUCGUCACAAGCUGUACCAGGGAGCUGACAACAAGCCCUCGCAGGGGCAGAGCUCCACUGCCACAGUGUGUCUUGUCAGAGAGAGAUACCCACUAUCGAAGAAGGUGACCAUGCUGACCAGAAGAAAGCAUAUUCCACAGAUCUGUCGCAGAGUUUACAUAUGUGGCCCAGUCAGUUCACUAAGUCAGUUUCAAAGGUUGAUUUUAAACUAUGAAUUAAGCUGUGGAGAUAAACAGUUCUGAAUAUGUGUAAUAGCUCAACUAAAAUAGAAGUUCAUUUCCUGCUCACUUAACAGUCCAAGGCAGGUGUUCCUGGCUGAUGGAUGGUUCUUCUCCACACGGUGACUCAGGGAAUGACCCAGGCUCAUUUUGUCUUCUCUCCACCAGGGCCUCAUCCUCAUCAGCUGCCUCCAGUCAAUAGACGAGAAGUGAGAGAGAGAGGGGCACGCCUGCUGCUUUAAAGCCUUGUCUCAGAAAUGAUGUUCAUCACCAAAACUCAGUCACACGAUCUAACUGCAGGAAGGCUGGCCUACGUCGUCCAAUUGUGUUCCCAAAGAGUAGGGACAAGGGAUUGGUGGGGAGGACAGGGAACAGCUCGCAGUCUGCAGUUGUUUCAAUUGGGUCAUAUUUCAUAUACUUCAGAGAGUUUCAUCGCACUUCAGCAGUGUUAUGAGUGAAAAGUAACAUUUAUGUCUCAACAAAUAAAGAUCCACUUUAAAUCGGUGUCAUAAAAACAAGUAGAAUUUCUGGGUCAAAUGGCAUACAAAAUUCUAAAGGUUUUCAUUAAGUAUCGUCAAGUUGACCUUGAGAAGUUGUUCAGUUUAUACUCUCAUCUCCAUGCCAUCACCUACACCACUGCUAACAUUGCAUACAGUAUUAUCAUUUCAAAGCUUUUCAUAAACAAAAUAAAGUAUUCAAACAAUAGAGAAAAGAUGAGUGAGGAAUGUAAAAAAAAGUCACCAGAGGUAAUCACCACUAGUCUUUUGUUGACCACCUUUUCAUACGACUCUCUACACAGAGAUAUUCCACAGAAAAGAUAUUACAUUUGCCUUUUGAAAAAUUGUGAACCUCCUUCUCUUGUUCUAUUUCCCUUCUUUUCUUUAUUUCCUUCCUCCCUCCUUCUCUCCCUCCCUCCCUUCCUUUUCUCUCAUCGCUCCCUUCUCUCCCUCUUUUCCCUCCCAUUUCUCAUGCUUUGCUUUUGAUGGCCAUAAUUGACUGGCUUUACUGGGUCAGUCCUGACUUGAGGAGGUACGAUCGCGUAGAAAUUGAUAGCACAUACCCUAAAGCCACACUGCCUGGAUCUGGAUUCCACCUUGUCCAUGUAUUGCUGUUAUGACCUCUGUGUCUCAGUCUCCUUAUCUGUACAAGCGGGUAAUAAUAGUACCUACCUCCUUGGUUCCUAUUAAUCCUUGUGAGGAUUAAAUGAGUUAAUAUGUGUCAUGUGUCUUGAACAGCACCUCGUGCAUAGUAAGUGCUAUAUGUGUUUGCUAUUAUUAUCAUUAAUCUAUCACAUACGUUACAGAUAUUUUUUCCUGCCUGUUAUUUGUCUUUUGAC